AGGUUCUGUACCUCAAGUGAUAGUGAAGGCAGUAGGGAAAAGGACGAUGUUUGGUUUCUGGUCUUCCUUUCUACCCGACAGUCCUUCAACAGCCUACGUACCUCAGAACCAGACCGUUCUUACAUCAAUUUUAAAAGAUCCAUCCCUACAGGUACGAGCUGGAGCCUUGGCAUUUCUCACAGAACUUCUCGAAGGAUCAAAACCGUUCCUGUCUUUAGCUGAAGAAAG